UAUAAAUAGCUUUUCUCAUGAUAUGAUUAGUUGAGUGGACGCAGAUUUGAGUGCAUAAUCUUAGAAAUCUUGUGCUUUUAGAUCCUUUUGGUAGAUCAAUUGAUGAUAAUCUUUGACUUAUUAUUCAUGGAAGACUUUUUCAUUUUUCUUACUUCACAUUUUGUUUUUGGUUCUAGAUCUUGAUUCAUAUUUUACAACCCUGAAUCUCUGGAAAAGUUGGUUUUAUUAUAUUUGGAAUUUAGUUCCUGAUACCGAAAACUGAGGCUGACUCCGGACCCUUUUUGCAGAGAGGCAAGGUGGAUCUAAUCAACAAGAAAUGAGGUUCCAGCACUUGUUUGUUGGGAUAUGCUUUGAUUUUGAUUUCAAAUGUUGGUCUCGACAUAGUUAAGAUUCACAGAAAUGACUGAUUUAAGACAGGGGUGCUUGUUGAUAAAGCUUGAGAGUGACUUAAAGCUUUUCCCGUCGGCAUCCUCUUAUCCUCAUGGUACAGGAACAAGUACAGUUAGUUGAGUAUCCACUGACUGACAAGAUGUUGUAGUGCUGGUGCAACUUGGCCACCUUUUGUCAAGAAAUUUGAUGGUGAUCCUACAGUUUGUGCAUAUUGCCAAGCUUGUUUUCACCUCUCUUGUCAAACCCACCAUCACCAUCCACACCAUAUCUCUUCCACCAUCUCUUACUCUUCGUUUCAGUGGUGCAAGUUUUUUGCAUGGCAAGAUGGUGCAUCACUUGCGUUCUUUGUGCACUAUCGUGAUAUCCGUCUCUCCUUUUCUUUUUUGUUUUUGAUAAUCCGAGUACCAUGUUGAGAAAGAUGAGUCUAGAAAAAGCAUAUUUGAUAAUGAACCUUUUGAAUGUUUGAUUAGAUUUGUUUGGUAAGUUUAAUGGAAGCCGA